AUUGAACGCUGGCGGCAGGCCUAACACAUGCAAGUCGAACGAGUGGCGGACGGGUGUGUAAUGUCUGGGAAACCGCCCGAUGGAGGGGGAUAAAUACUGGAAACGGUCGCUUAUAGCGUAUACCAUCGUAUGUGCACAGAUGGGAUUAGCGAGUAGGUGGGGUAACGGCUCACCUAGGCGACGACCCCUAGCGGGUCUGAGAGGAAGACCAGCCACACUGGAACUGAGACACGGUCCAGACUCCUACGGGAUGCAGCAGUGGGGAAUAUUGCACAAUGGGCGCAAGCCUGAUGCAGCCAUGCCGCGUGUAUGAAGAAGGCCUUCGGGUUGUAAAGUACUUUCAGCGAGGAGGCGUUACUCGCAGAAGAAGCACCGGCUAACUCCGUGCCAGCCGCCGCGGUAAUAC
rnacentral:rRNA from 1 species